UACAUAUGUUAUUAUUGUUGUUAUAUAUUAUUCUGUCUUUUACCUCUGCUCUAUCUUGUUUCCUUCUAAUGAACCUGGAACUGCAGAGUAAAUAUUGUUGUCUCUGUGUCAGAUGGCUUGUUUUGUUCCUGGACUCUUCAGUGAUGAUGAGCAGAGUCUGAGUGAACCUGCUUUCAGACAAUCACUAUUGCACACCAAAUGCUCUUACUCAGCAGAUGGGGACAGCUACCAUCACCCAAUUUUCAACCAAAAGUGGCUGCGCUAUGCGCCAGACCGGGCAGGAGGGACUGGACGACAACUUAUGCAGGCAUCAGAUGACAAUGAAGUGUAAAUAAA